GACGAACGCUGGCGGCGUGCUUAACACAUGCAAGUCGAACGGAAAGGCCCUGCUUUUGUGGGGUGCUCGAGUGGCGAACGGGUGAGUAACACGUGAGUAACCUGCCCUUGACUUUGGGAUAACUUCAGGAAACUGGGGCUAAUACCGGAUAGGAGCUCCUGCUGCAUGGUGGGGGUUGGAAAGUUUCGGCGGUUGGGGAUGGACUCGCGGCUUAUCAGCUUGUUGGUGGGGUAGUGGCUUACCAAGGCUUUGACGGGUAGCCGGCCUGAGAGGGUGACCGGCCACUGUGGGACUGAGAUACGGCCCAGACUCCUACGGGAGGCAGCAGGGGGGAAUAUUGCACAAUGGGCGGAAGCCUGAUGCAGCAACGCCGCGUGCGGGAUGACGGCCUUCGGGUUGUAAACCGCUUUCGCCUGUGACGAAGCGUGAGUGACGGUAAUGGGUAAAGAAGCACCGGCUAACUACGUG
rnacentral:rRNA from 1 species